rnacentral:rRNA from 1 species
AUCGCUUAUGCCUUGGGCCACACACACGCUACAAUGGACGGUACAAUAGGUUGCAAUGGAGCGAUUCGGAGCUAAUCCUAAAAGCCGUUCUCAGUUCGGAUUGCAGGCUGAAACCCGCCUGCAUGAAGCCGGAGUUGCUAGUAACCGCAGGUCAGCAUACUGCGGUGAAUACGUUCUCGGGCCUU